AGUGAACGCUGGCGGUAGGCCUAACACAUGCAAGUCGAACGGCAGCACAGUAAGAGCUUGCUCUUACGGGUGGCGAGUGGCGGACGGGUGAGGAAUACAUCGGAAUCUACUUUUUCGUGGGGGAUAACGUGGGGAAACUUACGCUAAUACCGCAUACGACCUACGGGUGAAAGCAGGGGAUCUUCGGACCUUGCGCGAUUGAAUGAGCCGAUGUCGGAUUAGCUAGUUGGCGGGGUAAGGGCCCACCAAGGCGACGAUCCGUAGCUGGUCUGAGAGGAUGAUCAGCCACACUGGAACUGAGACACGGUCCAGACUCCUACGGGAGGCAGCAGUGGGGAAUAUUGGACAAUGGGCGCAAGCCUGAUCCAGCCAUACCGCGUGGGUGAAGAAGGCCUUCGGGUUGUAAAGCCCUUUUGUUGGGAAAGAAAAGCAGCAGGUUAAUACCCCGCUGUUCUGACGGUACCCAAAGAAUAAGCACCGGCUAACUUCGUG
rnacentral:rRNA from 1 species